rnacentral:rRNA from 1 species
AUUGAACGCUGGCGGCAUGCCUUACACAUGCAAGUCGAACGGUAACGCGGGGCAACCUGGCGACGAGUGGCGAACGGGUGAGUAAUGCAUCGGAACGUGCCCAACAGUGGGGGAUAGCCCGGCGAAAGCCGGAUUAAUACCGCAUACGACCUGAGGGUGAAAGCGGGGGAUCGCAAGACCUCGCGCUGAUGGAGCGGCCGAUGUCAGAUUAGGUAGUUGGUGGGGUAAAGGCCUACCAAGCCGACGAUCUGUAGCUGGUCUGAGAGGACGACCAGCCACACUGGGACUGAGACACGGCCCAGAAUCCUACGGGAGGCAGCAGUGGGGAAUUUUGGACAAUGGGGGAAACCCUGAUCCAGCCAUGCCGCGUGCGGGAAGAAGGCCUUCGGGUUGUAAACCGCUUUUGUCGGGGAAGAAAUCCUUUGAGCUAAUACCUUGAGGGGAUGACGGUACCCGAAGAAUAAGCACCGGCUAACUACGUGCCAGCCGCCGCCGUAAGAC